AUGGGCACGCCCGGAAAAGGCACUACAAAUUCCCACUCCAGUCCACAGGACUGGGAGCCCAGCCCUCAGCCUUCAGGCCCUUCCUGGCCUGAAGGUGGGGCCUCACCAGGAAUCCACCCCUUUCCACCCAAGAGCCUGUCUGCCUCCUGCUGCCGUCCAUGGCGUCCAGGCUGCUCAUGCCAAGGGGCACCUGCAGGUCAGUGCCAAGCUGUCCUCAGCACUCCCUCAGUCUCCCUUCUGUGCUUGUUGGCACCCAAAAUCCUUCCCAGGCCCCCAAGAGUACAGAGAGGCCCAGGUCCACAGCUACGGCUGCAUCCCAGUGGGUCAGGGCUGCUGCCUGCUCCCAGCUCCUGCCGGCUCCAUGGAAUGUGCAGCCCUGGAAUCUGUCCCCUCGCACCUUGGGAUGGGGGCUCCAGGUCCUUGCUGGGCCCACGCUGGUGUCCAGAGAUGAGGCAACGUUGCCACAAGCUCCCCGCAUGGCCCAAGUGCUCAGAGGCAGCCCAGGGCUCCCCCUCGCCUGGCUCAUGGCCCUGCCCAGUGGGGCACCUCCGGGAAAAGAUCACAGGCAGCAGGCCGCAGGCCCAGCUGUCUGGAGUGUCAGGUCUGGUGGUCACCCCAAUGCAGGGCAAACCCUGGGGACAUGACCCUGGGGAGCCCUGCACAGAGCCUCCUCCCAAGGUCCAGGAACCCGGUGCCCUAAAGUGGGGUGAGUGUGGUGGGUGCACCACUGGCCAGGUCCCUGAAGCAGGUACCACUCCCACUUCUCACCCUGGAACCCCAAAGCAUGGCCCCCGCUCCGCACCCCAGGCCUGGCCCCCGCGCCCCAUGUGCAAGCAUGCGACUCUCCUGGGCCCAGGUCCACCUCAGAGCCCUUCUCUGCCCAACCAUGCUGUUCUGCCACUGGCAGGUGACCCAGCCCAGCCCCAUCAUGGCAGACCCCAAAGCAGCAGGCUGGGGGGCAGGGGGACUGUCCGCCUCCUCCCCACACCCUCCCUGCAGCAGCAGCUGCUGGCAGCAGCCCCUCCAGAUGGCCCAUCACUGCCAUCACCUUCUUGGCCCACCAGCUCAAGAAAAGAGAGAGAAAAUCAGCUCGCUCUCUGCAUUCUUGUUCUAUCCAAGCCCUCAGUGGAUUGA
rnacentral:lncRNA from 1 species